rnacentral:rRNA from 1 species
UACGGAGGGGACUAGCGUUGUUCGGAAUUACUGGGCGUAAAGCGCACGUAGGCGGAUUUGUAAGUCAGGGGUGAAAUCCCGGGGCUCAACCUCGGAACUGCCUUUGAUACUGCAAAUCUCGAGUCCGGAAGAGGUGAGUGGAAUUCCUAGUGUAGAGGUGAAAUUCAUAGAUAUUAGGAAGAACACCAGUGGCGAAGGCGGCUCACUGGUCCGGUACUGACGCUGAGGUGCGAAAGCGUGGGGAGCAAACAGG